rnacentral:lncRNA from 1 species
GAACUCCUGGAGACUCCACGAUCACGUAGACACCAAUUUCAGGUAAGUUUUACUUCGGAAAACCUAGAUUCUAAACUCCCCGUGAAAGUGCACUGUUCAUGAUCUUCGAAUUGACUUUGUUUUUAGGACAAUCCAAGCUCACAGUGAGCUUAGUGAGGUUCCAAGGAAGCUCGGAGUGCUUCGUUGGAAGUUUUUGGACGUAAGAACACGGAGAUCGAUAAGUUCAAAGUUUGGCCGGAGCUUUCGAGGCAUUUUCCGACGAAUCCCCGGCGAGUUAGGCGUCGAGGUAGGUAUCAAUCUCUUCGUCUCGUCAAGUACUACAACUUUCCUUUUUGUUUCACUCAAUUUCGUUGAGUAUUGAAGAAGUUAUACUCAUUUGAAAAAUACCCAGUUUCCGGCGACCUCCGAGGCUUUCGAGGCAGUUUACGGCCAAACUACGGCGAACUAGGUGUUGGGAAAGGUACCAUUCUCUUUGUCUCUUCAAGGGCUACAACUUUCGUUUUUGAAUCACUUGAUUUCGUUGAGAAAUGACAAAGUUAUGGCAAUUUGAAAAAACUGCCCAGAAAACGGCCGCCGGAAAAAACCAGUCCGGCGACCCAAGGAAGAAGAAGGUGCUACAGUAAAAAAAAAAAUAAAAAUAAAAUUAUUUUAAAAAUAUGUCGACGUCCGUGACGUCGAGUAGAUCACUGUGGUAUAUUCAUAUACCUAAAUUGAACACCGUAUGAGAAAGUUAUUGAAGAUUGUUGGUUAGGUGUUCAAAUAACGUUUUAUAGUUUUCACAUUUAGGUGAAAAUGUGAAUUGAUGAUCUGACCGUUGGAUCGUCACCAAACUUUGAUACGUUGUAAUACGUAAUAUUUGAGGAUUAUUGGAACUUACGGAUUGGGAAUCCGAGUUACGGAUCUUCCGGAAUUGGAAUUGUAAGUCCAUAAUAUAAAAUGUUAACCGUCACUUAGUUUUGGAAAUUGACGGAGAUCCGACCGUUGGAUGGUAAUGAAAUUUUAGGAUGUUGUCCUAGAGGUAUAAUGUGGACCUCUGGAAGUUAUGGAUUUAAAAUCUGAGGGGUGGAUCUUCCGGAUCAAUCUACGUAGUGACGUAUUUUAUAUAAGUUAUAUAUUCUAUCGAUAUGAAUUCUGAGGUUGGAAUUGAUUAUUGUUUUAGGCGCCGAUCGUCAUGACGCCUUGGCGUAUUGUGCUAGGGAGUUGUAGGGCGAACUCCAGGUGAGUGGGCAGUUUUGUUUUCCGUAUAUAUAUAUAUAUAUAUACUUAACGUUUUCCCAGAAAUUGAAAAUGCAUGAAAUUAUGUUUAAAAUGAAAUGCAUAUGAGUUAUGUGGAAAAACGGGAAGUGAAAUACCAUGCAUAGAAUUGAUAUGAAAAGUAUAUAGAAAUGUGAGUUGAAAUGCCAUGCAUGAAUUAAUAUAUGAUGCAUAUGUAUGAAUUGGUGCGGUGGACGCACAGGUAAGAAUUGAUUUAUGAUGCAUAUGUAUGAAAUGGUGCGGUGGACGCACAGAUGAGUAUUUAAUUACUGUUAUGAUGAUGAUGAUAUAUAUUGAGCUCAAAUCCUGCACCAUGGUUUAGUGCUUUAUAGUAUUCACCGCAUCGCACGCUCGCCUUGGAUCCAAGUAGAUGCUAGUCGUACAGUCCACGCGGAGUGGGUACGACAGACCAGUCGCGAGAGUGUUAGUGAGAUUCCGGCUGGUGGGUGACCUUAGAUUAUGUGCACAGAUGAUUUAUGAGAAGCACUAGAGCGUAACUUGUGUGCAGAAGGCCGGACGGGUCACAGAGGUGACUCCGGUAGAGUGAUAAUGAUAGAUUUUGAGCUUUAGGUUCAACCGUAUAGGGCUAUUAGAGGGCCUACGGUUGAUUACUUUCUUGCACCUGAUAUGAUUAUGUUGAUGCAUUCAUACCUUAUUACUGUUGAGAUGAUGUGGCAUGGCAUAAUUAAUAUGAGAAAUGUUGAGAUGACAUGGCAUGGCAUGAUUGAUAAAGAGAUAAUGUUGAGAUAGUAAAAAUGAAGUUUUGAGAAUAUAUAUGUAUAUUUAUAUUUUACAUUUCUGGGAAAGUAUACAGGUUUUACGGAGAGGGGUUACAACGUUUUGAGAAAUGUUUGGAUUUGGAAAAGAAUUGUUUUUACUGACCCACUCAAUUUUGGUUUUGCGCCCCUCCAGGUUCAGGAAUCACAAAGGUGUGGUGACUACGAGGAAUUCGACGGUGUUCUGACAGAUUGGCCAAAAUUAGGACUCACCUUCGGGUGUAUCAAUUUAAAUUGUAUCUUAAAGCUUCCGUACUGUGCAAAUGGUUACGUCACUCUCACGUGACGGCCAGCAUGCCCUCCUUCGGGACGGGGUGUGUCAAUAGAUGCAAUAACAAAUUGCCAAAAUUUAUAUUGACCUGCUUUCAAAUAUAGACAUAUAUAAACUUAGCACAUGCAUUCUUGCAACACAACUUUAACAUAUGUUAUCACAAUCAUAGGCAC